UUCCCAGGAUAGCAACGAGGCGCUGCUGCGGGACGAGCGAGAGGAGGGAUAGAGCGUCCCUGCCCAGCGCGCCCGCGUGGCGGCGAGGGCCGGCGGGGCGUUGCCAAGGCGACCGUGCGGGCGGGCUGGCGGGACGCGGUGCGGGAGGGAGGGGUCGCCCCUCAUCCCCCGGGCAGGGAUCGCACCUCAUCGCCCGGGGGGGGAUCGGUGCGGCCCUGCGGUGUCCCCCAGCACUCCGCAGCCGGCCGCCUCCCGCUUCGUCCAGGAGUGCCCCGCUCCAACACAGGGGACAUCGCCUCAUCCUGCUGGCUUCCCAAAGGGAAAAACAUGGGAGGAAGGCUCGCCUGAUAGAGGCGCCCCUCGGGAGGUCACUCCCGAGCUCCGACUACACCACACGGUAGCCAGCGCUGUGGUGGUGAUGGCUUUGAAAUGAUACAAGGCUGUCCUACCACCACAGCGUCACAUCCCGCCAGCGGCACGCAUGGGCAUCUGCCUCGUACAGACGGUCUCGGUACACUCACGCACGAGUUAACCUUUAAGAAUGAAACACAGUCAGAGCCCCUUCUGCUUAAAAUAUCCCCUUCUCAAGUUGUUUGUCUCCUGUUUCCUACCCACACGCCGCUGAGCUUUCAGCCUCUACCUACAGCAGGUUUCAGCAAGUCCUUCACAGUGGAAAAGCUUUUGCUGCUCAUCCACGAGUGAAGCAAAUUUAUCUCCCAUUGUGCAAGAAACCCCAGUGUGCUCAUUCUACCUACACCACUGCGAUCCUCUUCCGUCACAGCAUUCCCUCUGGCCAAGCGAGAGUCAGUGUGCCUCGGUCGGUGUCAUCGCUGAAGGGGCGUGUUGCAUCGGGAAUCGGAAAUGGCAGGUCCGCUGAAAGCUGGUCUCACUGCUGAGCCCUUCUGAAGCGCGCAGCUCAGAGCUGGGGCUCUGGUAGUGUACGAACAGGAAGCCACUAUCUGUGGGUGCACCAGGAUUUACUGACACAAGCUACUUUCCAAGUUAUUUAGUAACCCAUAAGAAAAACUGCAACAGAUAAGUCUUUUCCCUUGCUGGGAAAAAAAAACAACAAACCCAAACCAAAACCAAAGCGCAUUCUUAGUGACGCAGGACAGGAAACAAAGAUCAUGUUUGAAUUACAGCAGUCUCGGAGGAAUAGAAGUGAUUAUUCUGCAUUUACAAGCGUGCACAAGACCACCUUUGCAAGAGACUAAUUAUGCAAACGAAGAAGCAAUAAGAAGAAUCUAAAACUUUUCUCUGGAAUAGGAGACGCUUUGCACCCUUUCAGCAGUAACAGCCAUCCUUUCCUCUCACUGGAAACACGUUUAAGAAGGGAAUCGGAAUUGACAAAACAGACGCAUGCUAUCCCCAAAUACGGGCCUUGCCUCAGACGUGCCUUGUUAAGAAAAGGGACAGCGUUGCUCAGAACUAAUCGCUGUCAUAAUCAGAGGAGGUGUCCCAAACCUCUUGUGCGUUCCCAGGAACGCAGACUUCCAGGGGCACUAGAUAAACAGAGCACAUUCCCCAUCGCUAGCCCUGAACAGUUUUCAGUAACUUCAUGGUCAUGUCAUUACUAAAUACUUUUAACAUCUGCAAUGGAUAUUUAAAACAAUGGCAUUUGUCCUUGCUGACACUGUUCUUUACAAAAUGACAUCUGAGGUGAUUUCCCAACAAUUACGUGGGAAAGAGAUCUACCAGGAUCCUGGUACACCGCAGCCUGUGGAAGGAGGCUAACUUUGGAAGAGGACAAAAUUAAACUACAGUUCUCCUGAUAGGAAACAUGAUGUAGAAUGGGCCCUUAGGCAUGAAACAAUGCGUAUUUCCUACAGCUUUUCCACCUCUGCCCCACAACCUUUAACACAUUCUCAAGAACUGCCUAUAGCAUUAAAGGGAGGUAUUUGAAGUGACACGGCCUAAGCACGUAUUCCGUGUGAUCUCUUGGCAAGUGGGAUGAUCAGGCUGUCUAGAUGCUCAUCUAUAGACGGGACAUGGUAAGCUUUGGGAAAGGGCCAUCAUUCACUGUAUGAAGUGUCCUGAAACACCGUUAACACUGGGCAGUGGC